rnacentral:rRNA from 1 species
UACGUAGGGUGCAAGCGUUGUCCGGAAUUAUUGGGCGUAAAGAGCUCGUAGGCGGUUCGUCGCGUCGGCUGUGAAAACCCGGAGCUCAACUCCGGGCCUGCAGUCGAUACGGGCGGACUUGAGUGUUGCAGGGGAGACUGGAAUUCCUGGUGGUAGCGGUGAAAUGCGCAGAUAUCAGGAGGAACACCGGUGGCGAAGGCGGGUCUCUGGGCAACUACUGACGCUGAGGAGCGAAAGCGUGGGGGAGCGAACAGG